AGCUCACACAAGAGCCUUGUGAGUUAGGAAUUAGUAUCCUCAACUUACAGAGAAGGAAACUUUGGCUCAGGGGACUGAAAGUUGUGGAACCCUAAUUUGUGGCAUCAGGUGUUUUUUGGUAAGCAGCCAUUUAUGACUCUGGAAGAUUGGGACUGACAGGAAGCCCCUUCUGAGAUUUUAACAAAGUUCUCGAACAACACAUAUACCAUGGACAUAAAGCUGGAUCCUUCCCGAGAUGACCUGCCUCUCAUGGCCAACACCAGCCACAUACUUGUGAAGCACUAUGUACUGGAUUUAGAUGUGGAUUUCGAAAGUCAAAUCAUUGAGGGCACCAUAGUGCUUUUCUUCGAGUCUGGAAAUAAAUUCAAGAAACAGAGUAGUUCCACCGAGGAAACCUACCCAUCAGAGUCAAACGAAGCCUGCAAAUUUAGGACGCCUGAACCCUGCCAUAUUCCUGUGACAAGUACAAGGACCAUCUCAUCUAAAAUGGGAUAUAAUGAUUUUGUAGUCUGUGGUAAAGGUGAAAAAGCUACUUCUGGUAAAGAUGGUAACCAUGACAACCAGGAACAGGCUUCUGGGAUUUCUAGCUCAAAGUACUGCUGUGACACAGGGAAUCAUGGGAGUGAGGAUUUUUUGCUAGUGUUGGACUGCUGUGAUUUAUCUGUGUUAAAGGUUGAGGAGGUGGAUGUUGCUGCGGUGCCAGGUAUUGAAAAAUUUACAAGGUCUCCCAAGCUCAGGAAUCAGAUUGUACGUGAACUCGUGGCUCUGCCUGCAGAUCGUUGGAGGGAACAGUUAGACUAUUAUGCUCGCUGCAGCCAGGCUCCUGGUUGUGGGGAGCUCCUGUUUGACAUUGACACUUGGAGCUUACAGAUCAGGAAGACAGGGGCUCAGACAGCUACUGACUUUCCUCAUGCCAUAAGGAUACGGUACACAACCAAACCCCAGGGCCGAUCAGUUACGUGGACCUCAGACCAGAGUGGCAGGCCAUGUGUUUAUACUACGGGAUCGCCCAUAAACAACAGGGCCCUUUUUCCAUGCCAGGAGCCACCCGUUGCCAUGUCAACAUGGCAGGCUACAGUUCGAGCAGCUGCCUCUUUUGUUGUUUUAAUGAGUGGGGAAAAUUCUGCCAAGCCAACACAGCUUCGGGAAGGAUGCUCAAGUUGGCAUUACUACGUAACCAUGCCAAUGCCAGCCUCCACCUUCACAAUUGCAGUAGGAUCCUGGACAGAAAUGAAGCCAGAGAUCUGCUCAUCAAAUGAUCUGGCAACAGAGAGAUCCUUCUCACCUUUCGAGGCUGACUUCAGGUAUGUUGGUGUUUGUGGUCACAUGGAAUACCCCUGCCGCUUCCAGAAUGCUUCUGCCACCACCCAGGAGAUAAUUCCUCAUCGGGUCUUUGCUCCAGUGUGCCUGAAGGGUACCUGCCAAGAGACCCUUCUGCCACUGAUCCCUCCUUGCCUCUCAGCAGCGCACUCUGUCCUGGGAACACACCCGUUCUCCAGGUUGGAUGUACUCAUUGUCCCUGCCAACUUUCCGAGUCUGGGGAUGGCCAGCCCACACCUCGUCUUCCUCUCUCAGAGCACCUUGACUGGAAUGAGCCAGCUCUGUGGGACCCGUCUCUGCCAUGAAAUUGCUCACGCCUGGUUUGGCCUGGCUAUCGGGGCCCGAGACUGGACGGAAGAGUGGCUCAGUGAAGGGUUCGCCACUCACUUGGAAGAUGUAUUCUGGGCCAAGGCGCAGCAGCAGCUGGCCCCCGACGAGGCCCAGGAGCAGCGGGAGCUGAGGGCUUGCCUGCGCUGGCGUCGCCUCCAGGACGAGGUGCGGGACUCCCCGGAGGACAUGCAGGUGUUGAGACCCAAUAAAGAGAAAACUGGCCAUGUGAGUGACUCAGGAUCUUCUGUCAUCAAACACGGGCUCAAUCCGGAGAAGGUCUUCAUGCAGGUUCAUUAUUUAAAGGGCUAUUUCCUUCUCCGGUUCCUUGCCAGAAGACUUGGAGAUGACACCUAUUUUUCAUUUUUAAGAAAGUUUGUGCACACAUUUCAUGGGCAGCUGAUUCUUUCCCAGGAUUUCCUUCAAAUGCUGUUGGAGAGCAUCCCAGAAGAAAGAAGGCUUGGGUUGUCUGUUGAAAACAUCUUCCGAGACUGGCUGGAGAGUUCCGGAAUACCACAGCCGCUGCAGAGGGAGCGCCUGGCCGGGGCGGAGUGCGGGCUCGCGCGGCAAGUGAGCGCCGAGGUCGCCAAAUGGGUCCGAGUGAACAGGAGACCCCGAAAACGGAAACGAAAGGAGACAGAAGAAGUGUUGGAAAAGCCGUCGGCAACGGUGUUAGGCUUGACUCUGGAGCUCUUAGGAUACAAAGCUUGGCAAAACGACACAAGAUGAAUUUAGGGAGUGCUGAACCAAAGGGUCCCUUCUCUUUAUAGGCACUACCUGCAUUUAGCAAAAUGAUCAGAAGGCAGUAGUGCAGUAAAUGGAAAAUCUGAAUGUCUCCCCCAAGAUCCCCAAAUGAGUUCCUGAGCCUAGAGUCCUCAUGUGUCAGUUGGAGUCGCCGUGACCUACUUUUGUUCCGACUCUUGUCUCCCUGUGACUCUGGUCCUCCUUGUCCACGUAGCCUUGUUAGGUGUGCCUUUCUUUUGAUCUUUGUAGAAUGAUCCUUUCUUGUCUCUCUGGAAUUUUGUCUGAUGAAAUCCAGUUGUUUCCUGCAGAGGGGUGCUAAUGUCUUGGAGAGGUGACCCUUCCUGAAGUAUGCAGAUCUUGGGUGGCUUGCAGACCUUGGGUGGCUUGGGCCUGGCUCCCAUGGUGGACCCCUGAUGACUGUACCACCACGUGUCAUCUUGUCAAAGGGGCUGGAUACUUGUCUUGCUAGAGCCUUGUGGGAGUUAAGUGAGGUGUCUUAUCUAAAACAGCUGGCACUAACGAAGCAUUUAGUACAUUUUGGAGCACCUCUUCAAAUAAGAUGGUGAAAGACUGACUACCUAAUAGCAUGUGGAUAGACACCAUUCAUUUGUUUUUUUUCCUUCUCCAUGGUAGUGAGAUAGGAAAACAUUCUUAAAUUUAUUUAUAGACCAAAAAACCCCCCAAAACAAAAACACCCCCCCCCCAACCAGCCUUGAUUUCUUCCUGUAAUUGUUCUUUGGUUUGCAGCACAUACAGCGGUAGUACUCAUACAAGUCUGUAUGUUUUGUCUCUAUCUUUGGACUUUAUUCAGGAAGACUGGUCCUAUUUCUCAGCACUACUCUACUGUUUCAUUUGCAUCUCUCUUCAGUUUGUCUACUACAGUAUAGUAAAUUGUCAUUGUUCUUGUUCCAAACAGGAAGCUCUCAAAGUGCUCUUCAGGCUGUUGAUAAGAUUUCUAUUCUAGCAAAGCUCCAUUUUAAAAUCAGUCUAUAAUCAUGUUUUGUACUCAAGUCAUUGCUUUUAUUUAUUUUCCCCAAACUAUUAUGAUUUGAAGUUCCCUUAAAGGCUGGUGGAGCUUUAUACAAAUAUGCGCUAAUGAAUGGCACUGAGUAUUGGGCAUACCUCCUCCUCUGUUGUCAUUUUGCAGUGGAUUUCUGGUCUGAGGGGAAAACUACCUCUGUUACCUUUCACUAGGCAGGGUUGCAAUGUUCAAUUUAUUUCCUGACAAAAAGUGAAUUCUAGUACAGGUAGUUGUCUUGAAAUGAUUAUAUUCUCUAAAAUGGUUCUUGGUCAUCUUGAGUUUCUAACGUAGUUUACAACAUAGUUUUUGGAUCUGUGGAAAUGUCAUUGUUGUGUAGUACAGCUGCACAGAACAUCAGAAAUAACUAAAAAGUUCAGGUAACUUAAAAUAAAAUCACCAGCUAGGAGCUGUCUAAAAUACCUGGAAAAAUGAUAAAUCAAGCACCUGGAGGAGAGUGCUAGUGAAUAAAAUGUUAUGAAAGCUACUUGGAGUCCUUGACACUUGGGUGUGCUGGGCCACAGGAGCGAACAGAGUGGGGAGAGCAUCUCGUGGAGAGCUCAACCACUCACGCUUCACUUCAGCGUUUUAUUUGGAAUGCUGUACAGAACUGGAGCUGUUAGACUGGGGGAAGGCCUUACUGCUUCUCUGACUCCAACCCUUGUUUUACAUGUGAGAACAUGGGGGUCCGCAGUGUGGGCCUGGGACCAGGCCUGGCUCUGUCCCCCCGUGCUCUUUUCAGCUGUCUGCCAGGGCAGCUCCUCGAAGUAGGAGUGGGGAGCAGCUUUGGAUGCUGGGCCAGGAGAAACGUGUGCAGCUGGUCUUUGUCAUGUUCUGGGGCACGGACACCUGGGGGUGGCAGGAAGCAAGGUCUGGGAGACUCAGGCUGCCCCUCCAAGGCCACCCCUUGUGGCCUAGAAACUCGUCCAGAGUGAGGGCCUUUUCAUGGUUUAUGGAGGACUCUCCCAUCCUGGCUUGGUUAGGUGUGGACUGGGUCAGAUUUUGAAGGCUCAGGCCUUCCGAAGAGUGGGUAAGACUACGUGGUGAGACAGGUGUCUUCAAGGGUUGGUGUGAAAUUUUGCUUUUCAUAUUAAGUUAGUAAACUUUACAGGGCAUAGGGUAUUUGAGGUUUUUGUGAUGUUUGUCACGGACCAAACAACUUUGACAUGAAAAUGUUUUUGCUGUUUUUAAUCAAACAAUAGUGUGACCAGAUAACAAGCCAUUUUAUUUUGGAAUGCAGUAAAGGUACUCUCACAAAUGCCUUUUCUUCAGUCUGUGCAGAUAUUUUUUAAUAUAUACAUUAUAACUUUUUCUAAAAUGCAUGGCUGCUUUCCAUGUUUAAAUAUAUUCAUACCUUGAUGUAUUGCAAAUUUAAAGUUAAGUGAAGUUUUUCUGUAAUCUUUCUGAAUUGGCUAUUUGCUUAUAGACCAAAUGAAACCAACUCUACCCCCAAAACAGUAUUACUAAAUGCUGAACUUGGGUCAUAAAAGGUUUAGUCCCCCAGAUCUCUCUGUACUGUUGGCAGGACAAAGUGAAUAGGAAUAUUAUGGUUUGCAGAAGAAACUGCUUGUGUGUUUUCUGCAAUACAACUGGCAGAUAGUGUCUCAAGUGGGCAGGUGAAAAGAAAAGGUAGGUACUGAGCUGCUUCAGACUUGUCGAAGGCGCCCUUCCCCUCAUUCCCAUCAAAAUGAAAGCUGCUGGAGAGAAGGCACUGGAUGAUACUCCUGUAUUGCUAACCCUGGCAUACUUUGAGUCUUUGUUAGAGAUUAAGUCACUGGCAUGGUCAACAGUAGCAUUACCUAAUCGUAGAGCACCAGAUUAUCAUAAGAUGAAUCUAAAUGAUGCUGAACUAUCUUCCAUCAAAGGAUCACUGACGUACCACUGUGCAUGUAUAGCUUGGGUGCGUGUGCAUGCAGACACACACACUUUAACCAUUUCAUUGGCCUUUCACCUCUGAGCAGGGGAGGUUUUGGGCCGAGACUGUGACCACUGUCUCCCAUUUUGGAGGAAAGCUGCAGCCGCUAUUUCCAGAACUGGCGCUGUUUUCAUCUGUGUCUGCCUCUGACUCAUGCUUCCCUAGAACUGCCCUGGGCAUAAUGCAAAGUCAUUGUCAUCGUGAGCCUUCCUAGGGAGAGGCUCAGUGGAAAAAGUGAAGGUGGAGCAAACCUGGCUCUAUAACAGAAGGUGAAAGAUACGUUUUUGUUUACUUUUGCUUAACUUCACAUUCAAUUUUUUUGGGAAGUGCUACAAUCCUGAUGAAGUUCAAGAUAAAAGAAGAGGAAAUCUGACUUGUUGCUACAAGACUCCUUGCUCUGGUGUUCAAAUUCUUGAACAGGACGAGGAAAAGAGAGUAAAAUAACCAUAAGUGAUUGUUGUAGUUCUUGAACAUGUAUUCAUAGUUGCUCAGUUUUUAAUUUUUUUGUAUCAGACCUGUUUUGCAAUCAUACACUGUUACAGAGAAGGGGAGGGGAAUGUAUUAUAAAUAUAUUUGACCUGCAAUAUUCUUAUUACUUGCCUUUAUAGUGAUCUUCCAGUAAUCUUGGAGGGUGAGACACAUCAUUUA